ensembl:lncRNA
AUACUUCUGUAUACAUGGGUGAGAACCAGAAAAUUCUGGCUUCUCUUGCUUGCUGGGUGUUUCCUGCAGAGGCCUUGCUUCCGGCUCUUCAAACCCCAGUUCCUGGUGUGAACCAGCUUGGCCGAUGCUCUUGCUUGGGCUGGGGGUGCCGUGUGCGGAGACGCUGCACCCACCUUAAUGUAAGGUGGCAAUGAGCCUUGUGAGCCCCACUACCGGGAGCAGCUGUGCCUAUCUCUGCUCCCCAGAACCCCGCCAACUCCACCCACUCCCCCGCUGAUGAAAGCCCUACGGAGCAGCCCCGCCCAUGGCCUGUUGGAGAGUGUGGACUGUACAGUGGGUGCUCCCACUUCUCAGUUCCUUUGCUUCUCAACAC